rnacentral:rRNA from 1 species
UACGUAGGGCGCGAGCGUUGUCCGGAAUUAUUGGGCGUAAAGAGCUUGUAGGUGGUUUGUCGCGUCUGCUGUGAAAAUCCGAGGCUCAACCUCGGACUUGCAGUGGGUACGGGCAGACUAGAGUGCGGUAGGGGAGACUGGAAUUCCUGGUGUAGCGGUGAAAUGCGCAGAUAUCAGGAAGAACACCUAUGGCGAAGGCAGCUCUCUGGGACGGUACUGACGCUGAGACGCGAAAGCGUGGGGAGCGAACAGG